AUCCAGUAGGACUUAUGCCCGUAUUCACAAACGGAACUUACCCUUAACUUUCGACUUAAGUAGCCGGUCCAUGCUUAACGUGUUUCAUAGACAAAUCUUGUACUUAAGGUAAACUUUAAUCGACACUU
rnacentral:lncRNA from 1 species